rnacentral:lncRNA from 1 species
AGGUCUUAGGAAUUAAUAUGAGGCUGAUGGUUGUCCUUUGAGGUCCAUAUUUGGAGACAAAUGGCACUAUUCAUUGUCCAGUGUGAAUGAUGACACUGGAGAUGAAUGUGCUAUGUAUAAUAAUGACCAGCAUCUGUGAUUCAUGGAUUAGUUUGGCAAAACCGGUAAAUGUGGCAUGGAAACUUACAAGGUGAAGGAACAGCUUUGCCAGUCUUAUGGUUGUAUGGUAGAACUUCAGAGUAAUACAGAAGGAGUUUCUGAAGAUCUCUUUCCAUUGAGAGGGGAGAGGACAUGAAAAGAGAUGAUGAAGAAACAAGCAACUAAGAAGUUGAAUUUCCUUCAAAAUCAGUCUUUCAGCAGGUAUAACGAUAAGCCCACUUCUCUUUCUCUUUAGUCUACAAAGUUUGCAUCUGUCCCUUCUAA